rnacentral:rRNA from 1 species
UACAGAGGGUGCGAGCGUUGUCCGGAAUCACUGGGCGUAAAGGGCGCGUAGGUGGCGACCCAAGUCGAUGGUGAAAGCUCGCCGCUCAACGGCGAGUCGGCCACCGAUACUGGGUUGCUGGAGCACUGUAGAGGCUCAUGGGAAUUCCGGGAUGUAGCGGUGGAAUGCGUAGAGAUCCGGAAGAACGACCGGUGGCGAAGGCGGUGAGCUGGGCAG